GGGUUGUGAGGUUAAGCGACCAAGCGUACACGGUGGAUGCCCUGGCAGUCAGAGGCGAUGAAGGACGUGCUAAUCUGCGAAAAGCGCCGGUAAGGUGAUAUGAACCGUUAUAGCCGGCGAUGUCCGAAUGGGGAAACCCAGUGUGAUUCGUCACACUAUCAUUAACUGAAUCCAUAGGUUAAUGAGGCGAACCGGGGGAACUGAAACAUCUAAGUACCCCGAGGAAAAGAAAUCAACCGAGAUUCCCCCAGUAGCGGCGAGCGAACGGGGAGGAGCCCAGAGCCUGAAUCAGCAUGUGUGUUAGUGGAAGCGUCUGGAAAGGCGCGCGAUACAGGGUGAGAGCCCCGUACACAAAAGCGCACGUGCUGUGAGCUCGAUGAGUAGGGCGGGACACGUGGUAUCCUGUCUGAAUAUGGGGGGACCAUCCUCCAAGGCUAAAUACUCCUGACUGACCGAUAGUGAACCAGUACCGUGAGGGAAAGGCGAAAAGAACCCCGGCGAGGGGAGUGAAACAGAACCUGAAACCGUGUACGUACAAGCAGUGGGAGCACAGGUUUACCUGUGUGACUGCGUACCUUUUGUAUAAUGGGUCAGCGACUUAUAUUCUGUAGCAAGGUUAACCGCAUAGGGGAGCCGGAGGGAAACCGAGUCUUAACCGGGCGUUAAGUUGCAGGGUAUAGACCCGAAACCCGGUGAUCUAGCCAUGGGCAGGUUGAAGGUUGGGUAACACUAACUGGAGGACCGAACCGACUAAUGUUGAAAAAUUAGCGGAUGACCUGUGGCUGGGGGUGAAAGGCCAAUCAAACCGGGAGAUAGCUGGUUCUCCCCGAAAGCUAUUUAGGUAGCGCCUCGUGAAUUCAUCUCCGGGGGUAGAGCACUGUUUCGGCCAGGGGGUCAUCCCG
rnacentral:rRNA from 1 species